rnacentral:rRNA from 1 species
CAAUAGCGUAUAUUAAAGUUGUUGCAGUUAAAAAGCUCGUAGUUGAAUUUUUGCUUGCCGCCGAUGUCGGAACUUCCGUACGUUCGGCGGCGUGCAUCCUUGGGUGGAACCUGUGUGGCAUUAGGUUGUCGUGCAAGGGAUGCUCAUCGUUUACUGUGAAAAAAUUAGAGUGUUCAAAGCAGGCUUACGCCGUUGAAUAUAUUAGCAUGGAAUAAUAAGAUAGGACCUUGGUACUAUUUUGUUGGUUUGCGCACCGAGGUAAUGAUUAACAGGGACAGUUGGGGGUAUUCGUAUUCCAUUGUCAGAGGUGAAAUUCUUGGAUUUCUGGAAGACGAACUACUGCGAAAGCAUUUACCAAGGAUGUUUCCAUUAA